UAGGGAAUAUUGCGCAAUGGGGGCAACCCUGACGCAGCAACUCCACGUGUGGGAUGAAGCAUUUCGGUGUGUAAACCACUGUCGAGAGGGAAUAAAGCGGCCUUUCGGGGCCGUUGAAUGUACCUUUAAAGGAAGCACCGGCAAACUUCGUGCCAGCAGCCGCGGUAAUACGAGGGGUGCAAGCGUUGUUCGGAAUCACUGGGCGUAAAGGGAGCGUAGGCGGGCCGCCAAGCGUUCUGUGCAAUCCCGGGGCCCAACCCCGGACCCGCAGAGCGAACUGGCGUCCUUGAGUGGUUCAGAGGCCGGCGGAAUUCCUGGUGUAGCGGUGGAAUGCGUAGAUAUCAGGAAGAACACCGAUGGCGAAGGCAGCCGGCUGGGGACCCACUGACGCUGAGGCUCGAAAGCGUGGGAAGCAAACAGG
rnacentral:rRNA from 1 species